rnacentral:rRNA from 1 species
GUGUACCGAAGCUGUGGGAUAUAUCUAUCGAUGUAUCGGUAGGGGAGCGUUCCGUGGUAGUUAGAAGCAUUAGCGAGAGCAGGUGUGGACGAAACGGAAGUGAGAAUGUCGGCUUGAGUAGCGCAAACAUUGGUGAGAAUCCAAUGCCCCGAAAUCCUAAGGGUUCCUCCGGAAGGCUCGUCCGCGGAGGGUUAGUCGGGACCUAAGGCGAGGCCGAAUGGCGUAGUCGAUGGACAACCGGUCAACAUUCCGGUACCGAUUUUGGAUUGUGCAGAGGGACGGAGAAGGCUAGCACAGCCGCAUGUUGGUUAGCGGUUUAAGCAUCCGAGGCGAUGAGAGACGGUGAAAACGUCUUGAGCGAAGGUGUGAGUACGAGAGUCUACGGACUCGAAGUGUGUGAUGUCAAGCUUCCAAGAAAAGCUCUAACCACGUUAAUCCAAAAUUGCCCGUACUCGAAACCGACACAGGUGGGAUGGUUGAGAAUACUCAGGGGCGCGAGAUAACUCUCUCUAAGGAACUCGGCAAAAUGGCCCCGUAACUUCGGAAGAAGGGGUGCCAGCGAGAGCUGGUCGCAGUGAAGAGGCCCAGGCGACUGUUUACCAAAAACACAGGUCUCCGCGAAGUCGUAAGACGAUGUAUGGGGGCUGACGCCUGCCCAGUGCCGGAAGGUUAAGGAAGUCGGUUAGGGGAAACCCAACGCUGGCGACCGAAGCCCCGGUGAACGGCGGCCGUAACUAUAACGGUCCUAAGGUAGCGAAAUUCCUUGUCGGGUAAGUUCCGACCCGCACGAAAGGCGUAACGAUCUGGGCGCUGUCUCGGAGAGAGGCUCGGCGAAAUAGGAUUGUCUGUGAAGAUACGGACUACCUGCACCUGGACAGAAAGACCCUAUGAAGCUUUACUGUAGCCUGGAAUUGGGUUCGGGCUUUGACUGCGCAGGAUAGGUGGGAGACUAUGAGACAUCCCUUGUGGGGGAUGUGGAGUC